rnacentral:tRNA from 1 species
GCGGGCGUGGUUCAAUGGUAGAACGCUACGUUGCCAACGUAGAGACGGGAGUUCGAUUCUCCUCGCCCGCUCCA